GGAUACUCAGUGGUACAGUGCUGGCCUAGCAUGCAUGAGGUCCUGGGUUCAAUCCCCAGGUCCC
rnacentral:tRNA from 1 species